rnacentral:rRNA from 1 species
CCUAAGGGGGGCUGCAGUGGGGAAUAUUGGACAAUGGGCGAAAGCCUGAUCCAGCCAUGCCGCGUGUGUGAAGAAGGCCUUCGGGUUGUAAAGCACUUUCAGUGGGGAAGAAAGCCUUGGGGCUAAUACCCUCGAGGAAGGACAUCACCCACAGAAGAAGCACCGGCUAACUCCGUGCCAGCAGCCGCGGUAAUACGGAGGGUGCGAGCGUUAAUCGGAAUUACUGGGCGUAAAGCGCGCGUAGGCGGUCUGAUAAGCCGGUUGUGAAAGCCCCGGGCUCAACCUGGGAACGGCAUCCGGAACUGUCAGGCUAGAGUGCAGGAGAGGAAGGUAGAAUUCCCGGUGUAGCGGUGAAAUGCGUAGAGAUCGGGAGGAAUACCAGUGGCCAAGGCGGCCUUCUGGACUGACACUGACGCUGAGGUGCGAAAGCGUGGGUAGCAAACAGGAUUAGAUACCCCUGUAGUC